rnacentral:ncRNA from 24 species
AAGGGGAAGCCGGUGACCGCACACGCGGAAGUCCGGCGCUGUCCCGCAACUGUGAGGGUCGCCCGCCCAGCGGCGUGACCCAAGCCAGGAUACCC